UACGAGGGGAGCAAGCGUUGUUCGGAUUUACUGGGCGUAAAGGGCGCGUAGGCGGCGUGACAAGUCACUUGUGAAAUCUCCGGGCUUAACCCGGAACGGUCAAGUGAAACUGUCGUGCUAGAGUACAGAAGGGGCAACUGGAAUUCUCGGUGUAGCGGUGAAAUGCGUAGAUAUCGAGAAGAACACCUGCGGCGAAGGCGGGUUGCUGGGCUGAUACUGACGCUGAGGCGCGAAAGCCAGGGGAGCGAACGGG
rnacentral:rRNA from 1 species